UAGGGAAUCUUCGGCAAUGGACGGAAGUCUGACCGAGCAACGCCGCGUGAGUGAAGAAGGUUUUCGGAUCGUAAAGCUCUGUUGUAAGAGAAGAACGAGUGUGAGAGUGGAAAGUUCACACUGUGACGGUAUCUUACCAGAAAGGGACGGCUAACUACGUGCCAGCAGCCGCGGUAAUACGUAGGUCCCGAGCGUUGUCCGGAUUUAUUGGGCGUAAAGCGAGCGCAGGCGGUUAGAUAAGUCUGAAGUUAAAGGCUGUGGCUUAACCAUAGUACGCUUUGGAAACUGUUUAACUUGAGUGCAAGAGGGGAAAGUGGAAUUCCAUGUGUAGCGGUGAAAUGCGUAGAUAUAUGGAGGAACACCGGUGGCGAAAGCGGCUCUCUGGCUUGUAACUGACGCUGAGGCUCGAAAGCGUGGGGAGCAAACAGGAUUANAUACCCUGGUAGUCCACGCCGUANACGAUGAGUGCUAGGUGUUAUACCCUUUCCGGGGUUUAGUGCCGCAGCUAACGCAUUAAUCACUCCGCCUGGGGAGUACUGACCGCAAGUUGA
rnacentral:rRNA from 1 species